rnacentral:rRNA from 1 species
GGCGACUGUUUAGCAAAAACACAGGUCUCUGCGAAGCCGUAAGGCGAAGUAUAGGGGCUGACGCCUGCCCGGUGCUGGAAGGUUAAGAGGAGCGCUUAGCGUAAGCGAAGGUGCGAAUUGAAGCCCCAGUAAACGGCGGCCGUAACUAUAACGGUCCUAAGGUAGCGAAAUUCCUUGUCGGGUAAGUUCCGACCCGCACGAAAGGCGCAACGAUCUGGGCACUGUCUCAACGAGAGACUCGGUGAAAUUAUAGUACCUGUGAAGAUGCAGGUUACCCGCGACAGGACGGAAAGACCCCGUGGAGCUUUACUGCAGCCUGAUAUUGAAUGUUGGUACAGCUUGUACAGGAUAGGUAGGAGCCUUGGAAACCGGAGCGCCAGCUUCGGUGGAGGCAUCGGUGGGAUACUACCCUGGCUGUAUUGACCUUCUAACCCGCCGCCCUUAUCGGGCGGGGAGACAGUGUCAGGUGGGCAGUUUGACUGGGGCGGU